UGCGUAGGUGGUCGGGUAAGUCUGGUGUGAAAUCUCCGAGCUCAACUCGGAAAUGGCAUUGGAUACUAUUCGGCUGGAGGGUUGGAGGGGGGACUGGAAUUCUUGGUGUAGCAGUGAAAUGCGUAGAUAUCAAGAGGAACACCAGUGGCGAAGGCGAGUCCCUGGACAACUCCUGACACUGAGGCACGAAAGCUGGGAGCAAACA
rnacentral:rRNA from 1 species